UUAAGUUAUUAAGGGCGCACGGUGGAUGCCUUGGCACUAGAAGCCGAUGAAGGACGUUACUAACGACGAUAUGCUUUGGGGAGCUGUAAGUAAGCUUUGAUCCAGAGAUUUCCGAAUGGGGAAACCCAGCAUGAGUUAUGUCAUGUUAUCGAUAUGUGAAUACAUAGCAUAUCAGAAGGCACACCCGGAGAACUGAAACAUCUUAGUACCCGGAGGAAGAGAAAGAAAAUUCGAUUCCCUUAGUAGCGGCGAGCGAAACGGGAAGAGCCCAAACCAACAAGCUUGCUUGUUGGGGUUGUAGGACACUCUAUACGGAGUUACAAAGGACGACAUUAGACGAAUCAUCUGGAAAGAUGAAUCAAAGAAGGUAAUAAUCCUGUAGUCGAAAAUGUUGUCUCUCUUGAGUGGAUCCUGAGUACGACGGAGCACGUGAAAUUCCGUCGGAAUCUGGGAGGACCAUCUCCUAAGGCUAAAUACUCUCUAGUGACCGAUAGUGAACCAGUACCGUGAGGGAAAGGUGAAAAGCACCCCGGAAGGGGAGUGAAAUAGAACCUGAAACCGUGUGCUUACAAGUAGUCAGAGCCCGUUAAUGGGUGAUGGCGUGCCUUUUGUAGAAUGAACCGGCGAGUUACGAUUUGAUGCAAGGUUAAGCAGUAAAUGUGGAGCCGUAGCGAAAGCGAGUCUGAAUAGGGCGUUUAGUAUUUGGUCGUAGACCCGAAACCAGGUGAUCUACCCUUGGUCAGGUUGAAGUUCAGGUAACACUGAAUGGAGGACCGAACCGACUUACGUUGAAAAGUGAGCGGAUGAACUGAGGGUAGCGGAGAAAUUUCAAUCGAACCUGGAGAUAGCUGGUUCUCUCCGAAAUAGCUUUAGGGCUAGCCUCAAGUGAUGAUUAUUGGAGGUAGAGCACUGUUUGGACGAGGGGCCCCUCUCGGGUUACCGAAUUCAGACAAACUCCGAAUGCCAAUUAAUUUAACUUGGGAGUCAGAACAUGGGUGAUAAGGUCCGUGUUCGAAAGGGAAACAGCCCAGACCACCAGCUAAGGUCCCAAAAUAUAUGUUAAGUGGAAAAGGAUGUGGCGUUGCCCAGACAACUAGGAUGUUGGCUUAGAAGCAGCCAUCAUUUAAAGAGUGCGUAAUAGCUCACUAGUCGAGUGACACUGCGCCGAAAAUGUACCGGGGCUAAACAUAUUACCGAAGCUGUGGAUUGUCCUUUGGACAAUGGUAGGAGAGCGUUCUAAGGGCGUUGAAGCAUGAUCGUAAGGACAUGUGGAGCGCUUAGAAGUGAGAAUGCCGGUGUGAGUAGCGAAAGACGGGUGAGAAUCCCGUCCACCGAUUGACUAAGGUUUCCAGAGGAAGGCUCGUCCGCUCUGGGUUAGUCGGGUCCUAAGCUGAGGCCGACAGGCGUAGGCGAUGGAUAACAGGUUGAUAUUCCUGUACCACCUAUAAUCGUUUUAAUCGAUGGGGGGACGCAGUAGGAUAGGCGAAGCGUGCGAUUGGAUUGCACGUCUAAGCAGUAAGGCUGAGUAUUAGGCAAAUCCGGUACUCGUUAAGGCUAAGCUGUGAUGGGGAGAAGACAUUGUGUCUUCGAGUCGUUGAUUUCACACUGCCGAGAAAAGCCUCUAGAUAGAAAAUAGGUGCCCGUACCGCAAACCGACACAGGUAGUCAAGAUGAGAAUUCUAAGGUGAGCGAGCGAACUCUCGUUAAGGAACUCGGCAAAAUGACCCCGUAACUUCGGGAGAAGGGGUGCUCUUUAGGGUUAACGCCCAGAAGAGCCGCAGUGAAUAGGCCCAAGCGACUGUUUAUCAAAAACACAGGUCUCUGCUAAACCGUAAGGUGAUGUAUAGGGGCUGACGCCUGCCCGGUGCUGGAAGGUUAAGAGGAGUGGUUAGCUUCUGCGAAGCUACGAAUCGAAGCCCCAGUAAACGGCGGCCGUAACUAUAACGGUCCUAAGGUAGCGAAAUUCCUUGUCGGGUAAGUUCCGACCCGCACGAAAGGCGUAACGAUUUGGGCACUGUCUCAACGAGAGACUCGGUGAAAUCAUAGUACCUGUGAAGAUGCAGGUUACCCGCGACAGGACGGAAAGACCCCGUGGAGCUUUACUGUAGCCUGAUAUUGAAAUUCGGCACAGCUUGUACAGGAUAGGUAGGAGCCUUUGAAACGUGAGCGCUAGCUUACGUGGAGGCGCUGGUGGGAUACUACCCUAGCUGUGUUGGCUUUCUAACCCGCACCACUUAUCGUGGUGGGAGACAGUGUCAGGCGGGCAGUUUGACUGGGGCGGUCGCCUCCUAAAAGGUAACGGAGGCGCUCAAAGGUUCCCUCAGAAUGGUUGGAAAUCAUUCAUAGAGUGUAAAGGCAUAAGGGAGCUUGACUGCGAGACCUACAAGUCGAGCAGGGUCGAAAGACGGACUUAGUGAUCCGGUGGUUCCGCAUGGAAGGGCCAUCGCUCAACGGAUAAAAGCUACCCCGGGGAUAACAGGCUUAUCUCCCCCAAGAGUUCACAUCGACGGGGAGGUUUGGCACCUCGAUGUCGGCUCAUCGCAUCCUGGGGCUGUAGUCGGUCCCAAGGGUUGGGCUGUUCGCCCAUUAAAGCGGUACGCGAGCUGGGUUCAGAACGUCGUGAGACAGUUCGGUCCCUAUCCGUCGUGGGCGUAGGAAAUUUGAGAGGAGCUGUCCUUAGUACGAGAGGACCGGGAUGGACAUACCUCUGGUGUACCAGUUGUCGUGCCAACGGCAUAGCUGGGUAGCUAUGUGUGGACGGGAUAAGUGCUGAAAGCAUCUAAGCAUGAAGCCCCCCUCAAGAUGAGAUUUCCCAACUUCGGUUAUAAGAUCCCUCAAAGAUGAUGAGGUUAAUAGGUUCGAGGUGGAAGCAUGGUGACAUGUGGAGCUGACGAAUACUAAUCGAUCGAAGACUUAAUCAA
rnacentral:rRNA from 1 species